CCUACGGGAGGCAGCAGUUAGGAAUUUUCGACAAUGGGGGGAACCCUGAUCGAGCGACACUGCGUGAGGGAUGAAGGCCUUAGGGUUGUAAACUUCUAAUAGAGGGACGAUGGUGACGGUACCUCUUGAUUAGCACCGGCUAACUCCGUGCCAGCAGCCGCGGUAAUA
rnacentral:rRNA from 1 species